ensembl:lncRNA
GAAAUUAUGACAUAAUCGGGGCCUGGAGCUAAUCCAGAGUUGCUUGCCAUGAGCUCUGUUCCCAUUCCCUGGAGUAAGGUUAGGCCUUGGGUGGCCCACCCAUGCUGCCAAAUAUGCAGGGCGGCAGCAACCCUCAUGGGCCCUUAAAGAUCAUAUGGGGCACGGCUGGAUUCUGCAGCCCUCUUGUAUAUCACAUGGGAACACUGCGGGGUGUGAGUGAUGGAACUGGGUCACACUGUGGCAACCCAGCACAGUCCAGAUUCAGAGCCAGGUUUGCAGUUCUCAGAGGCUGGGAAAGCAGGCCUCCAUCAAGCUAAACAGAGAUCUUUCCCAUUUUUUUUAAUAAAAGUUACUUCUUUUGCAAAUUUGUCCUCCUCACCUUAUGUAGGAAGAUGCUAUAGGAGUCUUUUAUUGUAAUAAGGUAGUCAAAGGCACAAGAAGUCGAACUGUGUAAAAAGAGUUUCGAAAAGUACAGGGAAGAGUGAAAUCAUGUGAUUCUCCACCAUUCCUCUAGACUCUGGAGUAGACGCGAUGCUACCUUGUGCCCUCUUUAGAGCUAAGGGCCCCUCCCCGGUAGAAUGUCAAAGGCAAGACCUUUGGAGCUGCGCCUCUAUGAGAGUCUAUUGUCCCAGUCCAUGGGCCUCGGACGCUUCUCCCCACCUCCCAUUUUCAAAGCCGCCCGGUAGGCGCCCGGUGUACGCGGUGCACCGGGAGUCUGCGCCUGUCACGCCGGCUCGGUCCCUGCCACAUGGUUCUCAAUUCGGCCCUCUGUCCAGUCCUGUCCUCAGGUUUCCUGGAUACUUAGUUCGUAAGGACAGUCGAGGUAUCUAUGAAUUUUCGCCUGUAUGCUCCGCUCACAUGGCGGACACGAACCGAUCCACUGCGCCUGGAUAGGCAGCCGCGUGGCGAGCGUGGUAGGCGCCUCCACCGCCCGCUCCAAGCUGCCCACCAGGAUUGUAGCAGGGCCCCAGCGCUCCGAACUGGCCCGGCGAUGUGCGCCCAUAGAAGUCCACCGCAGUCUCGACGCCGCCGCUGCUGCCACCCGCGGGGGGCGAAGCGGGCCCGGCCAACCGGCCAGUCGCUGCGAAGAGGGCCCCGCUGGCCCCUUGCGAGUACGUGCCGUCGGGGCCGGCAUAGGCGGCCGCAUAGGCGGAAGUGUUGGCGGGUCGGGCACCGGCGCAGCCGGCUGGCUGGUAAGCGGUGCUAGCGGCAGAGCCGCCGGCCGAGGCAAAGGAGCAGGAACCGGCGGGCCCAGAUGGCGCGGGGCCCAGUUCUGGGCUGAGCGGCCGCUCAGGCACCAGGCCGAAGACGCGGCACGGGCCUGGCGAAGCAGCCGGGUAGUAGACCGGGGGCGGCGCGGCGAGCGACGGUGCGGCAUAGCCUGCAUAGACCGCGCCAGGGUAAGGAGGGCGCGCAGCGGGCACCCCACCCGGGAAGAUGGCGGCGGCGGCGGCGGCCGCAGCGGCGGCGGCGGCGGCGGCCGCGUCCUGCAUGUAAGCCGGUUCUACCACGUUGUCUCCAGGACAUCUUGCGACUCACCGCAAUCAAGGCUGUUUCUUCAGUCAUCGAAUGGGAGGGGAAGAUUUGGUUGGCUCGAUCAGUUCUUGUUCUUACCCCAUGGAAGAGGAGAAUGA